rnacentral:rRNA from 1 species
GGAUGCGAUCAUACCAGCACUAAAGCACCGGAUCCCAUCAGAACUCCGAAGUUAAGCGUGCUUGGGCGAGAGUAGUACUAGGAUGGGAGACCUCCUGGGAAGUCCUCGUGUUGCAUCCC